UAGACCUGGCAAAAUGUUAGAAGUCGUGUUCCUCUCGACCACCGCGUUAUUUCUCCUCUUAUCUCUCGGCACUCCACUCUCCACCCAAACUAACCUCCAAACUUUCAUCAUCAAUGGCGAUAAUACAACAAUCAAAUACCAAUUUUUCCCAAUAAUUUGAAAUUAUCUCUCUAAAAUCACAACUUUCUUCUCACAUACCACAAUUUCACUCUCAAUUUUUUUUUAAAAAAACACACAAAAUGUUCGCUGCAAAUCUAAGCACUUCAUCUUCAUUCAUCUCACCUAUACCAUCAACUUCAAAACCCUAUUUUCUCUCUCCUCCUCACAAUUACACAAUCUCAAUCCAAUGUCGCGCGCCUGAUUUUUCCGCAGCAUCGUCUUCUUCGUCGCCUAAUUGGUUCCAAUUUCCCGACAUUUCUGGACCUCGGAUUCCUCGAGAAAAGGACGCCGUUUUAGGGGGUGGUAACAAUGGUGGUAGUAGUAUUAAUGGAAAAAGAGAGAAAAAAUGGUCGAGAAAUCGAGAGAGUUAUUUAAGUGAUAAUUCUGACCCUCUUCCUCUUCCUAUGACUUAUCCCGAUACUACCCCUAUUUCUCCUGAAGAAAUUGAUCGUCGUCUUAGUUGUGAUCCUCAAAUUGAGGACUGCAGGGUGGUUUUUUACGAGUGGACAGGCAAGUGUCGGAGUUGCCAAGGGUCAGGUUAUGUCGAUUACUACAACAAACGAGGGAAGUCGACCACUUGCAAAUGCAUACCAUGUGCUGGAAUCGGAUAUGUUCAGAAGAUAACGGCCAGAAAGGACUUUGAAUUAAUGGAGGAUUAGAUGACGGAAAACUACCUUGACCCUCAUUGUUGUUAGUUCUUCUUGCUUUAAAGUUUGCUGCCGCUGUCUCUAUGGUUGCUUUAGCUUCGGUUUCCAACAUGCAAUAUACAAUACCACCGCAUAGUGCUGCUACUGUUGCUGCUGCGGCGGCCGCCUCCAUUCGUUAUGGGAGAAAUGUGCUAUCUGAUAGUAGUGUAAGCAGGGCGAGUGAGAGCCAGCAUCUCAGAACUGCUCAAGAUGACAAGAAGGAUGUCAAAAUACUUUGUUGCGCUUUUGAAGGCACAACAACAUGAACAACUUUUUCAGGCUUUAGUUUAAUUAUUGUAAUUUACAAGUAUUUGUGUCUAAUAAGUCAGAAUUAAUGGGGGGUGUCUUCCAUUGUAUACCAAAAAUAAAUACAUAUACUUCGAAUAGAAAAAAAGAGAUGAAGAUGUGUGAUCACUGAUCCCAUUGUUUGUGUUU